rnacentral:rRNA from 1 species
GACGAACGCUGGCGGCGUGCCUAACACAUGCAAGUCGAACGGAACUGUUUUGAAAGAUUUCUUCGGAAUGAAUUUGAUUUAGUUUAGUGGCGGACGGGUGAGUAACGCGUGAGUAACCUGCCUUCAAGAGGGGAAUAACAUUCUGAAAAGAAUGCUAAUACCGCAUGACAUAUCGGAACCACAUGGUUUUGAUAUCAAAGAUUUUAUCGCUUGAAGAUGGACUCGCGUCCGAUUAGUUAGUUGGUGAGGUAACGGCUCACCAAGACCGCGAUCGGUAGCCGGACUGAGGGGUUGAACGGCCACAUUGGGACUGAGACACGGCCCAGACUCCUACGGGAGGCAGCAGUGGGGGAUAUUGCGCAAUGGGGGCAACCCUGACGCAGCAACGCCGCGUGAAGGAUGAAGGUUUUCGGAUUGUAAACUUCUUUUAUUAAGGACGAAAAAUGACGGUACUUAAUGAAUAAGCUCCGGCUAACUACGUG